AGUUUGAAUUUUAUUUUUAAGAAUAUUAAAUUGCAAGUUUAAAGGUGUAAUUUAGGCUU
rnacentral:tRNA from 1 species